GGCUCAAUGGUCUAGUCGUAUGAUUCCUGCUUUGGGUCCUGUUUGAAGACGCAUCUGCAGGAGGUCCCGGGUUCAAAUCCCGGUUGAGCCC